rnacentral:rRNA from 1 species
UGCCUAACACAUGCAAGUCGAACGGGUUAAGAGAAAUUUUCGGAUGGACCUUAACUUAGUGGCGGACGGGUGAGUAACGCGUGGAUAACCUGCCUCACACUGGGGGAUAGCAGCUGGAAACGCUGGUAAUACCGCAUAAGACCACGGUGCCGCAUGGCAGUGGGGUAAAAGAUUUUAUCGGUGUGAGAUGGAUCCGCGUCUGAUUAGCCAGUUGGCGGGUAACGGCCCACCAAAGCGACGAUCAGUAGCCGGCCUGAGAGGGUGAACGGCCACAUUGGGACUGAGACACGGCCCAAACUCCUACGGGAGGCAGCAGUGGGGAAUAUUGCACAAUGGGCGCAAGCCUGAUGCAGCAACGCCGCCGUGAGUGAAGAAGUAUUUCGGUAUGUAAAGCUCUAUCGGCAGGGAAGAAAGGCCCGAAAGGGAGAUGACGGUACCUGACUAAGAAGCCCCGGCUAACUACGUGCCAGCAGCAGC